rnacentral:rRNA from 1 species
UACGGAGGGGGGCGAGCGUUGUCCGAAGUUACUGGGCGUAAAGCGCGCGUAGGCGGGUUGCUAAGUCCGCUGUGAAAGCCCGAGGCUCAACCUCGGAGGGUCGGUGGAUACUGGCAGCCUUGAAGGUGGUAGGGGGAGAUGGAAUUACCGGUGUAGCGGUGAAAUGCGUAGAGAUCGGUAGGAACACCAGUGGCGAAGGCGGUCUCCUGGCCCACUCUUGACGCUGAGGCGCGAAAGCUGGGGGAGCGAACGGG